rnacentral:rRNA from 1 species
CAGCGCCACGAGUGGUAACCACGUUUAUUGGGCCUAAAGCGUCCGUAGCCGGUUUGAUAAAUCUUUUGUGAAAUUGUACAGCUUAACUGUACAGCGUGCAAGAGACACUGUCAAACUUGAGACCGGGAGGAGUCAGAAGUAUUCCAGAGGGAGCGGUAAAAUGUUAUAAUCUCUGGAGGACUACCUGUGGCGAAGGCGUCUGACCAGAACGGAUCUGACGGUGAGGGGCGAAAGCUAGGGGAGCGAACCGGAUUAGAUACCCGCGUAGUCC